rnacentral:piRNA from 1 species
UGAGGACCAUUGUGUGGAUCCAUGGUGAUU